UCUGCUUCCUGGAAGCCACUCCAGAGCUUGCCCCGUCUCCAUGGGGGAGAUGCACUUUCCACCACACAGUGUCUGAAGACCCUUAGGAGUCCAGUUCUCAGGAGCAGCAGCUGCUCUGGACAAGGAUCAUUCUUGGGCCCCAGACUGACCACUGACAUUCUUUGGGAGAGAAAACAUCCUCAGAACACACCCCCCAGGACGCCGGGACCAGGUUCUUCCGGCUCGUGUUGGCGUCUGUCUGCAAACCCUCUCUCCUCAGAGCUGAUCACACCAAACACCAAUAAACUUGACAAAAACAUUAAUGUGGCCGAGAAGAAGAAGCCAAUUCCGGGAGUUGACCUCCUUGGGAUGUGAUGGUGCUAAUGAAUCUGGGGAGUCUGGUAGCCUGAUUUGGGAACAGAAAGGUUCUUUCCUGCAGGAGGUGUCCUGGCCCAGGGCCUUGUGCGCUCACUGUCACCUCUGCUGCCUUCCUCCAGACGCCACUCGGGGGCUCGUGUCCUCCUACCUGUGACCCUCACUGCAGACUCACCUGGGUCCUUCCCCCCUGAGAACUCCAAAAAUCUCCCGAGAGAUGAGGGGAAGGGGCAGAAGGAGAGGUGGCCCGUGAAUGGGACUCGGGUCUGCUGGGUUAGGUAAGCGCGUCCACCUCUGGGGGGGACAGUGUUUGCAGCCCCAGCCCCUCUCCCCACCCCUUCUAUAAUAGCAAUAAUUCUUUCUCAGAUAUUCUGAAUUUAAAGGGACUCCUUUUCAACCAGGAGCUUCUCAGGUGUUGCCAGUGGUAAAGAAUCUGCCACUGGAGACGCAAGAGACACGGGUCCGAUCCCUGGGGUGGGACGAUCUCCUGGAGCAGGAAAUGUCAACUCACUCCAGUAUUCUUGCCUGGGGAAUCCAAUGGAGCCUGGCGGGCUACAGUCCAUGGGGUCCCAGAGGCAGACACUUCUGAGCGCGCACAGACGCACAUGUCCUUCCAACCCGCGCACAGACGCACAUGUCCUUCCAACCAGCCCAAGCUGCCCCGUCCUGCCUUGCCUGCUGUCUGGCUCUACUCACGGGCUUGGGGAAAAUCUCCUCAAAAUAAGCCAUUUUGGUUGUUUCUCAUGUCCUUGAGCUCUGUGAUCACAACCCCUGUGCUGUUUUGUUGUGGCCACUGCCCGGGGCUCAGAAUAUUGGAGCUGCCUGCGUGGAAGUGGUGCUGGGUGCUUGGGCCACUGCCCAAGGGCAGCUGGUGUGUGUGUGUGUGUGUGUGUGCGUGUGUGUGUGCGCGUGUGCGCACGUGUGUGUAUACAGUACUCUGUAGAUAAAAGAAGUUCACACUUCUGGUGCAAGGACUGAGUUAGUGGUAGAAAGGAGGUGGAAAUGGAAGGUGCCUUACUUUUUAAUAAGGAGAAAGUGUUUACUCUUGAGCCUCUUAAUUUUAUAAACAAAAUGUUUACUGAAACCAUCAUUUUAUUUGAAAUCAUGAUUCGUAUUUUCUAUUUGUAACACCAGAUAUAUUAAAGCAAUAAAAUAUCCUCCA